rnacentral:rRNA from 1 species
UACGUAGGGGGCAAGCGUUAUCCGAAUUUACUGGGUGUAAAGGGAGCGUAGACGGCCAGACAAGUCUGAAGUGAAAAUCCAGCGCUUAACGUUGGAAGUGCUUUGGAAACUGCCGGGCUAGAGUGCAGGAGGGGCAGGCGGAAUUCCUAGUGUAGCGGUGAAAUGCGUAGAUAUUAGGAGGAACACCAGUGGCGAAGGCGGCCUGCUGGACUGCAACUGACGUUGAGGCUCGAAGGCGUGGGGAGCAAACAGG